GUCCCAGAUUUUGGGACGAAUCCUGGAUUCGUCCCAGAUUUUGGGACGAAUUCUGAAUUCGUCCCAGAUUUUGGGACGAAUUCUGAAUUCGUCCCAGAUUUU